AAUACAGAAAAGAUUAGGGCGUUGGUGCGCCUGUGGCGGCGUUCGUCGCCGGCAAAAUUCUGUGUUGUCUCCCUUCUUCUACCUUUGUUCGUGCGAGUGAAAGAAGAAGAGAGGGGCUGCCCCUCCGGCAGCCCCAACAUUUGGUAUCAUGAGCUUGAUGGUCUUGGGCAUGUUCGUCGUACCGGAGGCGUACCGGCGAUGGCGGUGGUUGCCGGUGGCUGCGCGGAGCUCCGGGCUGUAUGUCGGCCUGUUGAGGUGCGCGGCGUGGCGGCUGUCAUGGCGGACGCGGAGUUGGCGCACAGUGAGGCCGUGGAGCAUGGCCAUGCAUGCCGUGCGUGCUGGGAGCGGGGCGGCCGCGGCGGACCUGCGUGGUGGCGCAGAGGCUGCGGUGGCGCGGCAUGGCUCGAUGGCGUGGAGGAGAAGCCGUUCGUGCGGCGGGUGAGGCAGCUCGAGCGGCCAUGUUGCUUGCGUCAGGACGCGGCAUGUGCGUGAGCCGAGGGUGUGCGGAUCAUCGGAGGAGAACGCGUCCAGCGGAGCGCAGGACGGCCGCGUCGAUCACGUCAGUGCGUGAUCGUGUGUGCGAGCCGGGGCGUGCAGGGCGUGGCGUCAUCGAGGUGCUCGGCGUUUGUCGCGUUGAAGAGGACAACCGGCGUAGGUUGCCGGAGCUGGAGAACGUCAGGCGUGCGCCGCCGGACAAGGAGCUCGGCGUGUGUCGCCGGAGACGAAAGGAGACGUUCAAGGCGAGGGUCGAUGGCGUGUCGUGUGAAAAUUAGGGGGGGAAAUAUUAGCACUAAUCUUGACGGAUGCGUGUGCGACCAGGUCGUGCGCAGCUGCCGGACCAAGUCCUGUGGCCGUUGUUGACAUAUUGCUUCAGUGGCGUACGUGCGCCUGCAUGUAGCUAGAUUAGUCGGGUCAGUGGCCGAGCAUGCCGGCAGGUUAGUGCGUGCGUGGGCUGGCUGGUGGGCAGAAGUGGAGCGAGGCGUGCGUGCGCUGCGUGCUCUGCCUAUAUAACCAUCACGUGUACUGCUUGUAUGAGUUUGAGCCAGCUGAAUAUAGAAAAGAUUAGGGCGUUGGUGCGCUUGUGACG